GAAUCUAGAAGCUGCAGAUAACAAAUACAAUUACCAUAGCAUUUACCAGCACAUCCCUCUUUGAGGCAGGACCAUAACACCUCAGAAUUUCUGGAGCUUGGAGGGCUUGCCUUGACUGCUACAGCUAGGAUUUUAUGCAGUCUUUACAAAGUUCAAACUAGGAAAGUAGGGAUGUUAAAUUUAAAUAGAUGUGCUGAGCUUUUUGGGUUUUUCCUCUCUUCUUUUAGGUUCAUUAUAUUUUGUGAUACAAAACAAAGGAUGGAGAAUACAGGGGGGAAAUCUGCAAGGAAACUAAGUCCAAACCUUUAAAAUUUUGAUUUGCCUUCAAGUGGAAGUGGGAUUGAAUAUCCACCCGAGACAGGUCCUGGCAGAAUGGAACAAACAAUAACAGCUCCAGAGAUGUUUCUCAGGCAAAAGUAACAGGACCAGCACAUUCCUUACCAGGUUUGCUUAGCGAGAUCUCAAAUGGGGCAAACACAGGACUUUGAUUCAGCUUUCCCACCAGAAACUACCACAUCAACAUCAAUGCCUACAUCUCUUUCUGCAUGUAAUUGGCACUAAUGCUUUCUCUGGAGAGAGCUGUAUGAGGAAGUUAUCCCAAAAGAAGGCACUUUUUCCACUAUCCGCUCCUGCACAGCUCCUCUUUCCCAUGCAAAUUCCCUGGGAACCAUGCUAUUUAAAUCCCUGUUUUACUGUAGCUGGCUCGUCAUGUUCAUCUGCUCAUUAGGCUGGCAGCGCAAGCUCAGCAGCAUUUGCACUUCAGCAUGAGAAUUUCUGCUGUGAGGUAUGACUGUCAUCCACUUGCCUGGACAUGUUGUUCCUAAAAAUAGCCUUAUCCUUGUUUUCUCUCUCUCCAAAAUAUUAGGCAGUCUCUCUACUUUCUGAACCUUGAUCACAAAAUUCCCUUCUCAUAUCCUCACAACUAAUCCCUCAGUCUCCUCUUCUCUACAGAAAUUAUUACUCCUAAAACACUUCCUUGCCAAGCCAACAGCCCACCUCAAACUUUCCAAGGAGUGGCUUCCUCCUUAGGUCCCUGAAGGUCAGAGGGUGAGCUUCGUUUACCCCACACCCAUGUUGGAUUUCCUAUAAUGAACAGCUUAACCACAGACUGUCACUGACAUUGAAUGGUCACAGCUGGCUGUGGAAGCAGAUGAGGACAUGUAAUUUGGGAGCCACGAUGCCCUAGCAGUAUUCCCUACUCAUUAAUGGAAUGGGCCUGCUAGGGAAAAUCCCACCUCUGACAGAGCCAAAUAACUUACUCUGUCUGGAGCAGACUCAUAUUGCAACUCAGAGGGAGAGGAAACAAUUAUAACAACUGUAUCCCUCCUCAUAUUCAGGGAUCUCAGAUAAGACAUAGGCAACCUGGGGCUGUUGUGUGCCUGUACCAACAGAGAAGCCACAAUAAACAAUGCAGAACUGCAACAGCAGGCAUCUCACCUUUCUGCCCUCAUCUCAUCCUUGUAGGCUCCACUAUGUCCCACAUCCAGUGCCUCAAACACAUCUACCACACAGAAAAAUGUAGAAGCAGAUGAGAGGCUCAGCACGGGGGAGAAGCUUUCUGAGUUCAAGAUGACACCUGCAGCUGCGCCCUACUGGCGGUUCCCUCCACGUCUUGGACAAUCCUAGCAAAACAGAAAGAUUGAAUGAACUCAUGCUGCCAUAAGGGGGAAUUGGGACUUCAUUAUCUUGUGGAAUUGACGAUGAAACGCAGUAUCUCUGCACAUCCCAAGGCUCCUGAGCAGAGUACAAACCAAAGCCUUGCUAACUGUUUAUUAUUAAGAUCUAAAAAUCUGUCGUGUGCCUUUGUAACUUCUUUUGUCGAUUGAUGAGAGGAAGACCCCGAGGGAAGAGAAAACAUUUUCCAGGAAAGAAGCUUUUAACAUCAGAAGACAGGAAACCAAACAGUGUUCCUUGUGCCUCUGCCUUGAAUGCCGGGUGCCGCAUUUUCCUGUGCGAGUCUGGUGGAAGGAGCACAGUGCCCAGCUUGCCCCAGGUGAGAAGGGAGAAAACAAGCUCUUUACUGAAUGUUGGACACUGUUUCUUAUCAUCUGGCAUCCAGAACUGUAAUUUCUAAAUCUGGGCAAAGCAACUACUAAACAAUAUCUUUCUGAUUUGCUAAUGAUUUAAAUACUUAAUGCAAGCACAAAUUGGUUACAGCUAGUGUAAGUGAACUGAAAAUCUUGCUUGUGUAAACUCUACAAGAAGACCAACUUCUAGUGGUCCCAAAGCAGCUUCAGUUUACACAUGCCCUUCUUUCUUUCCUUUCUCUAAUGACAUUUAACUUUUCUCAAAAUCAAAAUCAUCAGGCUAAGCUUGUCUGUGCUGUACCAGAAAGCUUGACUAUCUGACCAUGUCACCAUGCUUAGUUAGUGUCCUGCUGGAAUCCACCACAGAGCCAAUGCUUCCAUAGCUCCAGCACAGCACAUCUGCACAUUUUACAGAAUAGGUACAGAGCAAUGCAGAAGUGCCAGCAAAGUGCUGCAAUGUGUGAAGGGAUCUGAAUGCAUAAUGUAUUGCACUGUGUUUUGAUUAAUUCUCCUGCUCAAAUGGAUGUAAUUGUUUCUCUAGCUCAGCUUCAGGAUGUGGAUUCACAGACAAACACUGUCUGUGCUCUCCAAUGCCACCACACAGGGUGCCCUCAAGUUGUAAUUAGGAUUAAGCCACAAAGGAGUGCAUUGCUAUGCUGCAAUGCCUUCCAGGUGAAAAUACUCUUCAGUUCUAUGACUAUCAAAUCAGGGUUGUUAUGAAAUGUGAGACUGAAUGAUGGUAAAAGUGUGUACCUGCAAUUGCUUCCUUGCUGAGAGACAAAUCAGGAGAACAUGGCUGUGACAGAUCCAGCAGAAGGACCAGGUCAGAAGGGACCAAAAGAGCUAGAAGGAUUCUUUCCAUAUUGUCACCUCACUCCACAUGUGAAAGAAGUCAAAUCUUUACUUUGAAUAUUUUCCUCUGGUUUCUGGUUACAUUUCUUUAGAAAGCAGAUCUAAUGAAAGCACAGGAGAGCCUGUUCUCUGUGGCUGUGGGGUUAAUAAGAGUGGAACACAGGAGCAGCAGGAGCUGCAGGAAGAAUAAUUCCUUUUAAAGCUGGAGAUCGGAAGCCCAUAGGUGGUAAGUGUGACAUUUCCACACGGAGGAGUCCAGCUUAAUUACCUACAAUUCAAAGGUAGAAAGUUAUACAUUAAGGCAGCAAAAAGAAAGUAGUAGGAGAGGACAGACUUUGGCUGCUCACAAAGAUUUAACAUCAUUAACUCUCUGGCUUCCAAGAAUGUUCCUGUAUUUUCACUGGCCAAACACCAAUACAGCUAAUUGCAUUUGUGUUACCUGCAGUUCAGUGGGAAAUUGCCUCUUUCUUAUUGCCUGCACUGUUGUAUAGUACAGAAACACACAGCAAUACCAAGCAGAGUGGCUCUAGCCCAUUUGGAGGUAGAACAAUUCCUGUGUGCAUGAAGCUUGGCUCAGCAAGACAGGCAGACAACACCAAGGGGCCAGAGCUGCUGUUACUCAGAUGGCAGCCAGCUCUGGCGUGGUGACAGGGACAGCAUCCACAGGUGCUAAAUGCCUGAAAGUUAUUUGGCAGAGCCUGCAUGGCUGGGCAGUGCUGGUAAUCGUAAUAUCUGGCCAAUUAAAUAUGAGUCACCUAUUCACCUACUCAGUAUUUAUAUAUGCUACCGACAGACAUAUGGUUUACAGCAAACUAGGGAACAGACACUGCUGCACACUCAUUUCUUCAUCUUUCCCAGCAUUUGCUGAUGCAUUCUCAGUUGAGACUAAUACAGGCCAAACUUCCUUUCCAAUAUACCACUAAAAAGGCUAUAUUCUGACAGCUGUUGUUAUUGCCUUAAUCUCUUCUGUGUUGCUCAUUCCUAAAAUGAGGAACUGGUGGCCAACUCUGAAUUACCAAGCUCCCAAAGUCAGACAUGCUGAGAGGACCAAGACUAAUUUGCCAGAUACAUUUUCUUGUGCUAUGAAGUCAGUGUAAUAGCUUCUCACACCCCUAUCCUCUUGUCUGAGCGCCAUUUGUAUCUGUUCAGUUGCAUCAAUACAGGUGACUGUGAGACACACAAAAUAAAAUAGGUACAAUCCAUUUAAAAAACCUGUAAAAAAUAGCAUCAUAUCGUCAAACAGACUGAUGGGAGCCCCUUUCUCAAGCACUGCUGCUCACACAGCAAAAAGGAGAGCACCAUUAAAGCCCUUUCCCUUGGGUCUGCUCCCAACCAGAUGAGCGUGGGGAACCAUUGCCCAGCCUGGGCUUAGUCCAUAAAUUAUUUUUUUCUAUUAUAGGCAGAAAGAGAGAAAGCAAAUGGAGAAAAUCAGCAUUCACAUGUGGAUGCCAGAGAAAGCAAAACAUUACAUGGAUUCACUUAAUGCUUUCUUUGCAGGGCACUUGGCUGCUCUGAGAUGAGCAGAUGAAGGCAAACAGGCCCAGACCUCCUGUUCUUCCUGCACUUCCGCUGCUGGACACAAGGAACGUGCAGGAAGAAACACUGCAUCCCCAGGAUGUUCACUACACACAGCUCCUCAGCUGCCACAGGACAAAGAGCUAUCACCUGCAAGCUGCCAAGAGCCAGAUCUGAUCAAACCCUUAGCCCUGCAAUGUUACAGUAAAGGGUGUUUCUGCUUGUAUAUGCUCUGAGUGCCUCCCUCCAUCACCAAUUCCCAGCUGCUGCAAGACCUGGGCCAGGGGAACCUCUUGAUCCUCCUAUGCCACUGUAUUUGCUGGCUGGUAAAACCAAUGUGACCAGAAGAUCUCAUGGACAAAGAAGUUGACACCUCUGAGGCAGCUGAGAAUGGACAUCUCUGAUUUCUGAACAUCCUUCCCCACCUCAGUCUUAAUGCACUGAUUUAAGAUGAUUAAAGUGGCCGAUCCUGGAAAGGCAGAAAACUUCAAGACUUGCCAUUAUAUUAUGGAAGGGCUGGAAUCUCUUCAGAGAUGAGGUUGUAAUCAGUUUCCACUCUCAGCUCUGACUUAAAUAACUCUUCAUAUGCUUUCUUCUAACUUCAUCUCAUAAUUGCAGGGUUUUUUACUGAAGGUAAAAAAGAUUGUUUUCCUCGCUUCCCUCCUCCUCACUGCAAUUUGAAAAAUUUGGACCUGUAAUUCAAAGAGGAAGGCAAUGCCAGACUGAACCUUUGCAAGACUAAAUGUUUCCUUAGCUUCUUUCACUUAAGAAAACAAAGUAAAACACUCCCCCUCAAAAAAAAAAAAAAAACAACAAAAAAAA
rnacentral:lncRNA from 1 species